UCAGCCUCCUGAAUAGCUAGGAUUACAGGCAUGCGCCACCACGCCCAGCUAAUUUUUCUAGUUUUAGUAGAGACGGGGUUUCACCAUGUUGGCCAGGAUGGUCUCGAUCUCCUGACCUCGUGAUCCGUCCGCCUUGGCCUCCCCAAGUGCUGAGAUUACAGGCGUGAGCCACCGCACCCGGCCUUUUAUUGUACUUUCUUCCUCCUCUCUCUCUUUUACAGCUUUGUUAUGAGUUUUCCCCACAAGCCCAUGUAUUUCUUUGCUCCUGUGGGCAGCGAAAACUUUUGGCCUUGCCUCUGGACAAAUCUAUCAGGGCUGAUAGAUUUUGUCAUUGGUACAGGCCCUCGCUUCUCAUCCACCUCCACUGCCUCUCUUUUUGCUGAUCCAAGGUCCCCAACAUUCUCCCUAGCUGGCAGAGAUCAUCCCUGUUUCCCCAUUAUUCAGAGAAAUUUAGCUUAGUUUUGCUUUAACUUCCAUACCAUCAAAAGUCCUAGGCCCAUCUCUCCCUAAUCAAAGGCUCCAUACAAAAGAG
rnacentral:lncRNA from 10 species